GCGAGUAUGGCCCUCACGGGUCUAAUCCACCACAAACACCUUGUGAACCAGUCAGGGGGGACUCGGCCGUGAAAGCCCAGGCGAUUAGCGGAAGGGCCCUCCUUUGCGAAACCCGUUUAGAAGUCUUGAAAGUACUUUUGUAUAAUCUAGUA
rnacentral:misc_RNA from 1 species